GCAUCUCUCUUGUCUACCUACGGAACUCAUCUGGAUAAAGCUGGUUCUGUGGUUACCAGCUCGGCACAACGUGACAUUGUGAGCCAAAGGUGUGCGUACCGAGGAAGGCACGCAGCCUCCAUCCCCACCGCCCUCAAGAGCCCACCACCACCAAACCCUGCUCAUGCGCAGAGGCCGGACCGCAGGGCGGUGCAAACCCCGGAACUAUUUGUAAUAUGCCCUUCCUCCCGUUCUUUUAUGUCUAUAUGUUUAUCCCUAACGGUGCUGAGCGCGCAAGCUAGGUGGAGCUAGCCCCAUGGCGCCCGGCGUGUGUGCGUAGCGCUGGAUAAACAUUCCUGGUUUAUAACCGUCCCGAGGCUAUAGGGGCUGAUUUCCCCAACUCGAUUGGCACCCCAGCUGGGACCUUCCUUACAGGUCCAUCGGGGUCGGUUAGGGUAGGGACCCUCCUUGGCGAGCCCCGGGGAUUUCCCGGCGGAGGCCCCGUCCCUGAGCGACCACCGUGGGCUAAGGCAAGGAGAAGGCUGGUAGUGGCCCAGCCAGAGAACCAGGAGAUGAGCCUGAAAGGGAGGGAUGCUCCCCAACACCUCCUGGCAGUCCCGGCAGUCCCACGGCACCAAGAACCAGAAAACAACAAGGGGUAAUUCAAGCUCUGCUAAGGGAAGCGGUAGGACCGGAAGGGGGACCGGUUCUUAUCAAAGUACCGUUUUCCUCUUUUGACUUAGAAACUUAGAAGGGGGUGGCGAAAGGGUAUCGUAAUGACCCUCUGGGAGUGGCCUGCCAUGUCCAAUUUCUAAUCAAACAGCACGAGCCCGACUGGGGUGACAUACAAUUACUAUUGGACCAUAUGACCGAAACAGAAAAACAGUUAAUUCUUAAAACGUCUCUGGAUUUGGCCCAAGAUAAGAUGGGAGGGGAUGAUGUUAAGGAACAUUUUCCCUUACAGGACACCCAUUGGGAUCCAAACAGAAUGGCUGAGCGAGGGACGUUAGAUGAUUAUAGGGAUUGGGUUGCGAAAGCAAUGGAGAGGGCGAUUCCAAAAGCUAUAAACUGGUCAACCCUGUAUGCUGUACGGCAGGGACAUAAGGAAUCACCAUCAGAAUUCCUGGAUAAAUUGCGGGAUACUAUGAGGAGACAUACUCCUCUAGACCCCAGAUCCAAAGUGGGAAUACAGCAGUUGGUUUCAUUAUUCAUAGGUCAGUCAGCAACAGAUAUCCUGUUACACUGUUACAUCCCUAACCCCCCUUGAUGAUGAUUUUGUUACUGUAAAAGGAGCAGCUAGCCAGAGUGAAAAGGCAUAUUUCCUUAAACCCCUAAAAUAUACAUCGGGAAAACAAGUGAGAAUACACAAAUUCUUGUACAUGCUGAACUCUCCAAAACCUCUGCUGAGAUGGGACUUGCUAGAGCAAUUGGGGGCAGAAAUAAAAUUUGAAUCAGGAAAAAAUGAGUUUAAGGUAAACGAUGACCAAUUAAUAGAGAUAUUAAGUUUAGCUCUUGUCAGCGUCCCAGCUCAGACAGGGGUACCAAAGGGGAUUAAAAACCAGGUUUAUCCAAGGGUGUGGGCUACUGAAACGCCCAGACAAGCCAAAACCACCACCCCCUAUAGUAAUUAGGUUAAAGUCAGGGGUUCAACCUGUAAGGAUAAAGCACUAUCCCUUAAGGAUUGAAGACAGAAAGGGAAUUCAACCGAGAAUUGAUCGAUUUAUCAAAACUGGGCUGCUAAAAGAAUGUGAAUCAGAAUAUAAUACUCCUAUCCUGCCUGUAAAGAAACCAGAUGGGAACUAUCGGAUUGUACAAGAUUUGAGGGAUGUAAAUAAAAUAGCUGAAGAUUUGCACCCAUUGGUGAGAAAUCCGUACACUUUGCUCUUAAAAUUAAUUGAUGAAUUGGCUUGGUUUACCGUGUUGGAUCUAAAGGAUGCCUUCUUCUGCCUAUCCCUUGCCUCAGACAGUCAGCCUAUUUUUGCAUUUGAAUGGGAAAACUCUGAUUCAGGAAGAAAAACACAACUAACAUGGACUGUACUCUCCCAGGGGUUUAAAAAUAGUCCCACUCUUCUUGGGAAUCAGCUUGCAAAAGAUCUUGAACAAUGGGAGCACCCACCCAGGAAAGGGGUGCUACUACAAUAUGUAGACGACUUACUGAUAGCCACUAGUGAAAAGGAACAAUGAGAAAAUUGGACAGUUAGUUUGUUGAACUUCCUCAGUCUUAAUGGAUAUCGAGUCUCUCCACAGAAAGCCCAGAUUGCCUUGCAACCGGUGACCUAUUUGGGAUAUGAAAUCACUGCUGGGCCGUGAACCCUGGGAACGGCAAGGAAAGGAGCCAUUUGCCAGACUCCUGAGCCAUGAACAGUUAAGGAGCUCCACACGUUCUUGGUGGAAAUUUUGGAGAACCAGUAUCAUAUGGCUGCUUGGAAAUGAUGGAGGCUGUGUAUUUGAGCCAUCUAGACCUGAAAGAAGAACUGUUGGAGGAUGCUGAGGACACCUGGUACACUGAUGGUAGCAGCUUCGUGCAACAGGGCACACGUAGAGCAGGAUAUGCGGUAACAACUACUGACCAGAUUCACCAUUGGAACCUAAGUGGGAGGGCCCGUUCCAAGUGCUGCUGACUUCUCACACUGCUAUCAAGAUAAAAGAACAAGCUCCCUGGAUUCAUCACACCCGGGUUAAGAAGGCACAGAAGCCACCCUGGACAAUUAAGCAAACAGGACCGCUCUGACUAUCGCUCAAGAAACAGAAUGAUUAAUGUUUUAUUUGUAGUAUGGGGCUUAGGGGUUGCCAGGGCAUGGGAGGGAAAUUUACAUUUUAACAACACAGAGGGAAUGGUGAAUGCCUUAAAUCUAUCCUCUUGCUGGACAUGCACAGCCCUUCCCAGAGGGAAUAUGGAAUCUCCCUUUUUCGGAGUUCCAGUGUCCUAUGCAAAUUGGAGUUGGCCAUAUGACAAUCUAAAAAAUUCUACUCUGCCUACUGGGGAAAGCCUGCUCUGGAGGGUGGGGGAAUCCUGCCCUCCAGGACAGCAACUAAGCAAACUUCCAAAUGGGGAGACCCUUUGUUGGGCCUUCUCAUCCCCCUUACCAGCUAGAGGAACCCCGGUGCCAUCUUACACUUGCGGAAACAAUAGCAUUCAUUCUCUUAAAUUUGAGUUACAGGAACUGGGGAAAACAAUAUUUAUACAAAGGAAGAAUGACACUGCCCCAAGAGUGGGACACUUCAAAUUAAGUGCUCUUAAUGGAGCAACCAUAUGCAGCAAGGAUACCCAGUCAAACUCUUCAGGAUGUCCGGCACCAAUCAUGGCAGGACUACUACUCAAUUACUCCUAUAGUUGUGUACCGGAUGGAUUAUGGUGGUUAUGUGGGGAUGGCCAUGCCAGAAAAUCCUUGCCAGACCACUGGGAUGGGACCUGUACCUUGGGGUAUGUUAUUCCUCAGAGCAUAGUGUUUAAUCAGACAAGGCCACCAGCAGGAUUAUUAAGGACAUUGUGGAAAAGGACUAAACGACGCCUUCCAACCCACUAGUCGAUAGGCCAACGGGUUAUCACAGCUUUGUGCGUUGGCUCAUUCUGUCUUCGGGAGUGAGUGUAUUAGAAAAGGCAUUAGUAAAUAUUUCUGCCACAUUGGAGAAAAAAGACAAUUUUACCAUAGACGCACUGAGAGCAUUACAGGUUGAAGUGAGCUCUCUAAAAGUACUGUAGUACUGCAAAAUCAAAUGGCAUUAGACUUGCUGAUGGCCAAAGAAGGCAGAGUGUGCACUGUAAUCAAAGUUGCUGCUCAUACAUAAAACAAGACAAAAGAAUCGAGACAGAUCUUGAGAAAGUUUGGGAACAAUCAAAACACUUCCAUCUAGCAUCGAUGGAUGAUACCAUGUGGGGUUUUACAGAAAUUUGGGAUAAGCUUAUCAGGUAGUUGCCUAAUUUUAGGAUCAAGCAGCUUUCCCUCGCUUGCAUUGCUAUCUUAUUUCUUGGGAUUUUUAUAUUCUGUAUUUUAUGCUGUUUCCUUUUCCUAUGUCAUCAAACCGGGUGUAGCUACAAGGAAUGGAAGAAGCACAGGCUGAGGCAAAGGAUAGAAGAAGGGAAGUAUUUUCUAGAUAGAAACGGGAUAAUCUGUCAAGGAGCUGCUAGAUUAAAAAGAAAAGGGGGAAUUGAGAGAAAGACAGACUGAUUGAUGUCCUUGUAGUGAGGGGCCCAGAACUGAACACAGCACUCGAGGUGCAGCCUCACCAGAGCAGAGCACAGGGGAACCAUCACCUCCCUGCUCCUGCUGGCCGCACUACUCCUGAUGCAAGCCAGGAUGCCACUGGCCUAAGAAGCCUCCCACGUGGGGAGGGCACGGGGGUGUGCUUUAUUAGUAAAUAAAGAUGGGAGCUC